rnacentral:tRNA from 7 species
ACUUGUCUAGCUCAGUUGGUAAAAUACAAAAAUCUUAACCUUGUGGUUGUGGGUUCAAACCCCAUGGUGGACG